AUUGAACGCUGGCGGCAGGCCUAACACAUGCAAGUCGAACGAGUGGCGGACGGGUGAGUAAUGUCUGGGAAACUGCCUGAUGGAGGGGGAUAACUACUGGAAACGGUAGCUAAUACCGCAUACCAUCGAAUGUGCCCAGAUGGGAUUAGCUAGUAGGUGGGGUAACGGCUCACCUAUGCGACGAUCCCUAGCUGGUCUGAGAGGAUGACCAGCCAACCUGUAACUGAUAAACGGUCCAGACUCCGACGGGAUGCGGCAGUGGGUAAUAUUGCACAAUUGGCGCAAGCCUGAUGCAGCCAUGCCGCGGGUAUGAAGAAGUCCUUCGGGUUGUAAAGUACUUUCAGCGGGGAGGCGUUACCCGCAGAAGAAGCACCGGCUAACUCCGUGCCAGCAGCCGCGGUAAUAC
rnacentral:rRNA from 1 species